UUAGAGCUCUGUCUUUGUCUCAUGGUAUCACUGAUGGAACAGCUGUUUCAAAUUAAAAGACAUACUACACUUGAAGGGACUUACCUCUUUGCACAAACCAUGGAGCAGAAUCUUUUGGACCCUUUAAACGUGUAGGCGAAGUCCACCCAGCCACAGUAUUCACACGUCAGCUUUGGUUCCUGCUCUUUUUCUGUGAAGAGGACAAGAGACAAACUACAGGUGGCUGUACUGGUCUGUAGUUAAAUGCACCAGUAGCAGAUCUACAGUACUAUCAAUCAUCUCGUAUUCCUAAGGCUGGCUCCCACCAUUAACCGCGUGGACACAGACACAGAGGUUGAGGACUUUUACAAGACUAACCUCACCUUUGGAUUCAAAGCAGACAGACUGGUAAGUCGCUGUUUGCUGCGUUGCUGACUGGGGUUUUGUCGGGGUCUGACGAGAGCUGAUGAUCCAGCUUCUUCGGGCUGUCGAUGAGAAUGGGCAGACGCUCCACCUGAUAAAAGGAACAAGAUGAUUUAAUGUUGGACAAAAUGAAAGUUGAUGGCCGUGAGCUGGACGGGCUGAGCUUUGGCAUGGUUGAGGGAGGAGUGGAGUGCGUGGGGGCUGAUGGUGGAGUGGAAGAUGGUGGCGUGCUGGCUGGGCGUGGAGGGCUGGUUUGGAGCCGGUUUGGGCAGCACAGGGACGGGGUGCUGUGAGGGUUGAAUGGAGGCGGUCUGCAGCAGCUGCCCCACUGCCCUCUGGGAAGCUUGACUCUGAUGGACCACAAACUGCUGCUGCUGCUGCUUGUGCUGCUGAACCAGUGAGUGAGGCUGAAUCUGCGUGUAUGCUGGAACGAGAACAACGGACACAUUUAUUUUAAACAUUUAUGAAUUCAGCUAACUAACUGCUCUGCACACCACCCACAGAGGCUUGUGUUGUGUCCUAAAUUCACCAGCCGCUGACUGCAAAAAGGAAUCUUAAAAUAAAAGGCCCUGAACGUUUUAA